UCAUCUUUUUUCUCUUCACUUGAUUUACCUCUGCUGCUCUCACCACUAUUUUAUUCACCUGAUUGCUCACUACUAUUUUCACUAUUAUUUUUUCAUCAAAUUACUUGCCACUACCCUCAUCAUUUUUUAAUUUCUUCAUCAGAUGGAUUACAACUACUAUUUUGAACUGUUUCUUUUUCACUAAUCGGCUACUCGUUAUUUUUAGUAUCUUUCAUUCGACCAACAACUAAGCCCCU
rnacentral:lncRNA from 1 species